rnacentral:rRNA from 1 species
UACGGGGGGGGCAAGCGUUGUUCGGAAUUACUGGGCGUAAAGGGCUCGUAGGCGGCCAACUAAGUCGGACGUGAAAUCCCUCGGCUUAACCGGGGAACUGCGUCUGAUACUGGAUGGCUUGAGAUUGGGAGAGGGAUGCGGAAUUCCAGGUGUAGCGGUGAAAUGCGUAGAUAUCGGGAGGAACACCAGUGGCGAAGGCGGUUGCCUGGAGCUUUGCUGACGCUGAUGCGCGAAAGCGUGGGGAGCGAUCCGG